rnacentral:misc_RNA from 1 species
UUUCCGUAGGUGAACCUGCGGAAGGAUCAUUAUUGAAUAAACCUGGCUUGGUUGAUGCUGGUCUUUUCGGAGACAUGUGCACACCUUGUCAUCUUUAUAUCUCCACCUGUGCACCUUUUGUAGACCUGGAUUCAACUUUCCGAGGAAACUCGGUUGUGAGGAAUUGCUUAAUAGGCUUUCCUUGUUAGUUUCCAGGGCUAUGUUCUCAUAUACACCUUAAGAAUGUAACAGAAUGUCAUUAUUAGGCUUAAUUGCCUUAUAAACUAUAUACAACUUUCAGCAACGGAUCUCUUGGCUCUC